GUCUGUCAAGGAUGUUCGUCGUGGCAACGUUGCUGGUGACAGCAAAAAUGACCCACCAAUGGAAGCAGCUGGCUUCACUGCUCAGGUGAUUAUCCUGAACCAUCC